GAUGAACGCUGGCGGCGUGCUUAACACAUGCAAGUCGAACGGGAUCCAUCAAGCUUGCUUGGUGGUGAGAGUGGCGAACGGGUGAGUAAUGCGUGACCGACCUGCCCCAUACACCGGAAUAGCUCCUGGAAACGGGUGGUAAUGCCGGAUGCUCCAGUUGAUCGCAUGGUCUUCUGGGAAAGCUUUCGCGGUAUGGGAUGGGGUCGCGUCCUAUCAGCUUGACGGCGGGGUAACGGCCCACCGUGGCUUCGACGGGUAGCCGGCCUGAGAGGGCGACCGGCCACAUUGGGACUGAGAUACGGCCCAGACUCCUACGGGAGGCAGCAGUGGGGAAUAUUGCACAAUGGGCGCAAGCCUGAUGCAGCGACGCCGCGUGAGGGAUGGAGGCCUUCGGGUUGUAAACCUCUUUUAUCGGGGAGCAAGCGAGAGUGAGUUUACCCGUUGAA
rnacentral:rRNA from 1 species